AAAAUGACUCUCGGCAACGGAUAUCUCGGCUCUCGCAUCGAUGAAGAACGUAGCGANCUGNGAUNCNUGGUGUGAAUUGCAGAAUCCCGUGANCCAUCGAGUCUUUGAACGCAAGUUGCGCCCAAAGCCAUUAGGCCGAGGGCACGUCUGCCUGGGCGUCACG
rnacentral:rRNA from 1 species